GUGGGGAAUAUUGGGCAAUGGAGGGAACUCUGACCCAGCGACGCCGCGUGCGGGAUGAAGGCCUUCGGGUUGUAAACCGCUUUCAGCAAGGAAGAAGCGAAAGUGACGGUACUUGCAGAAGAAGCACCGGCUAACUAUGUGCCAGCAGCCGCGGUAAUACAUAGGGUGCAAGCGUUGUCCGGAAUUAUUGGGCGUAAAGAGCUCGUAGGUGGUUCGUCACGUCGGAUGUGAAAAUCUGGGGCUUAACCCCAGACCUGCAUUCGAUACGGGCGAGCUAGAGUGUGGUAGGGGAGACUGGAAUUCCUGGUGUAGCGGUGGAAUGCGCAGAUAUCAGGAGGAACACCAAUGGCGAAGGCAGGUCUCUGGGCCAUUACUGACACUGAGGAGCGAAAGCGUGGGGAGCGAACAGGA
rnacentral:rRNA from 1 species